AUUUGCUGCAAGACAGGAAAAAUCUGUUGACUCCACACAAUUCCGACCCAGCACACUUCCUCGCCGGAUGUUUCCCUCAAUGCCGGCCCAGCCGGGGAACUAUGACCCCCUGCUGCACCAUGACACCCUUGGCGGUCUACUUCAUAGAGACAAGGGCAGUGGAGAUGGAGGAGUGCUUUGCAGAGAAUGUUGGUUUACACAGUGAAUUUGAAAAUCUAUCAGUAAACACAAAAAUCAAACAUAUUGACUCGGGAGCAUCAUCUGUGCAUGAAUAUUCAGCAGCUGACUGUGUUGAUUGGCCUCGUUAUGUAUUCAGCAUUUCUGGGUGACUCCGGGAUCGAACUGUUCUCACACUGAAAGAACCACCCUGGAGGAAUCCUGGAUCACACUCACUCAUUAAUAUAUUCAGCCACCCAGUCACUCAUUUAUUUGGUGGCAUUCAGCAUGUUCUUCUCUAUUUACAAGGUCAUUUUUCUUGGCAAGGGAUAUAGCUCAAGUUGACCCACAUUUUUUCCCUUCCUGUAAACCAUUGGUUUGGGUUUCUUUCUUCACUUAGAAUCUAAUCAGUCUAAUUCUCUCCUUGCUUCAGAAAGGCUCUUACAGGAAGGAAAAUGAGUCUUCCCAUCGUAACAUAAAUUCUCAUGGGGCUUCCCUUUAUAAGUUUAUGACAGCUAGGAGUUGAGCCUGGAGCUCUGAGAGAAACAGCGGCAUACUGAUUUAUGAUGGCAGCUGCUGCUAAAUCUUGCCCCUUUUUCCUUCUUACCGAGCCAUGUUACCUUGGGGUUACAAAACUCUUUUCACUCUUAUUCAGGGGAAUAAUAAUAAAAUGCCAGGUUG